rnacentral:rRNA from 1 species
GGCUCAGAACGAACGUUGGCGGCGUGGAUUAGGCAUGCAAGUCGAACGAAUCCCUCUUGGGUAACUGAGGGGGGGAAGUGGCGAAAGGGGCAGUAAGGCAUGGGUAACUUGCCCCGGGGUCUGGAAUAGCCGUCCUAACGGACGGGUAAUACUGGAUGUCGUAUCGUGGAGGCAUCUCCGUGGUACGAAAGCUCAGGCGCCCCGGGAGAGGCUCAUGUGGUAUUAGCUAGUUGGUGGGGUAACGGCCCACCAAGGCCAAGAUGCCUAGCAGGUGUGAGAGCACGACCUGCGCCACUGGCACUGAGACACUGGCCAGACUCCUACGGGAGGCUGCAGUCGAGGAUCUUCGGCAAUGGGCGCAAGCCUGACCGAGCGACGCCGCGUGUGCGAUGAAGGCCUUCGGGUUGUAAAGCACUGUCGAGGGGGAGGAAAGCCGCAAGGCCUGACCGACCCCUGGAGGAAGCACGGGCUAAGUUCGUGCCAGCAGCCGCGGUAAGACGAACCGUGCGAACGUUGUUCGGAAUCACUGGGCUUAAAGGGCGCGUAGGCGGGCUGGCAAGUCAGGGGUGAAAGCCCACGGCUCAACCGUGGAAGUGCCUUUGAUACUGCCGGCCUGGAGGGAGGUAGGGGCGUGCGGAACUUCCGGUGGAGCGGUGAAAUGCGUAGAUAUCGGAAGGAACACCGGUGGCGAAAGCGGCGCGCUGGACCUCUUCUGACGCUGAGGCGCGAAAGCCAGGGGAGCAAACGGGAUUAGAUACCCCGGUAGUCCUGGCCCUAAACGUUGGGUACUAGGUAGUGGACUUACAUGGGUUCACUGCCGAAGCAAAAGUGUUAAGUACCCCGCCUGGGGAGUAUGGUCGCAAGGCUGA